rnacentral:rRNA from 1 species
CAAGUCAGAGGAAACUCUGAUGGAGGCGUCGAAGGGGUUCUGACGUGCAAAUCGAUCUCAAACUUGGGUAUAGGGGCGAAAGACUAAUCGAACCAUCUAGUAGCUGGUCCCUCCGAAGUUUCCCUCAGGAUAGCUGGAACUUAUGAAAAAGUAGUUUAUCAGGUAAAGCGAAUGAUUAGAGGCUUUGGGGAAGAAACUUCCUCGACCUAUUCUCAAAACUUUAAAUAGGUAAGAUUUGAAGGAUACUUAAGUGAUCUUUCAAUCUCUUGAAUAUAAAGUUCUUAGUGGGCCAUUUUUGGUAAGCAGAACUGGCGAUGUGGGAUGAACCGAACGUUAAGUUAAAGUGCCAAAUAAUACGCUCAUGAGAUACCAUAAAAGGUGUUGGUUCAUUUUGACAGCAGGACGGUGGCCAUGGAAGUCGGAACCCGCUAAGGAGUGUGUAACAACUCACCUGCCGAAUGAACUAGCCCUGAAAAUGGAUGGCGCUUAAGCGUAUAACUUAUACUUAACCCUUACUUGAAUUAUUAUAGCGAGUAAGGAGUAGGAGGGC